GUAAGGCUACGUAGUGUUUGUUUACAUUGACUUUCCUUGUAAACAUUGGAGUCAAACAAGCGUAUAUUUUAGGUUCCGGUGGGGUAUGAUAGAUGACCUGAGAAAUGUAUAAAGUUAUAUUUUUCAAGAAUCAAAAUGGGUACAUUUCAUUAGUGGAUGAAGCACAUUCAGAGUGCCCCUUUAACCUAUACAGAAAUCAUUAUGUAUAUGACGAUAUUUAUUCAAAACAUAAUCUUUAUUUACAUAGAACAAAAUGACAACAUCAGUAUCUUUAGACUUUGAAACAAGUUUGAAACAUUGGUGUAAAUUGCGAGGGGUGAGGUGUUCCAUUGUCCAACAGGAUUAUUUCAACACACGCAGGAGCAAACAUAAACACAAAAAUGGAAUUAACAAAAAACACAGUUUAAUUCAGUUGCUAGGAUACCUGAGGAGACAGCACCAUUAGGCCUAGAGACACCCAUUCUACUUGGUUUGUUGAUUGACCAUUUUUCUAUUUUAUUUAACUAGGCAAGUCAGUUAUGAACAAAUUCUUAUUUACAAUGACAGCCUAAAAAUGGUGGGUUAACUUCCUUGUUCAGGGGGCAGAACGACAGAUUUUUACCCUGUUUAGCUCAGCGAUUCGAUCUAGCAACCUUUCGGUUACUGGCCCAACGCUCUAACCACUAGGCUACCCUGCCUCUAACCACUAGGCUACCCUGCCUCUAACCACUAGGCUACCCUGCCUCUAACCACUAGGUUACCUGCCGUCCCUGGUAGUAAGAAAUGGCUAGUUGGAAAUAUGAAUUGACCAUACCUUGGUCAAAGCACUGAGUAAAGACUAUACUUCCACUGCCGAAAGCUUUUGGCUUGUUGUACACACAAUGUGAUUUACAAUAUGUAGGCAGGUAACUAUUCAGAAAGGGAGGGUCUGACAUUACAUGACUACAUGACCAAAAUUACGUGGACACCUGCUCGUCGAACAUCUCAUUCCAAAAUCAUAGGCAUUAAUAUGGAGUUGGUCCCCCCUUUGCUGCUAUAACAGCCUCCACUCUUCUGGGAAGGCUUUCCACUAGAUGUUGGAACAUUGCUUUGGGGACUUGCUUCCAUUCAUCCACAAGAGCAUUAGUGAUGUCGGGCACUGAUGUUGGGUGAUUAGGCCUGGCUCGCAGUCAGCGUUCCAAUUUAUCCCAAAGGUGUUCGAUGGGGUUGAGGCCAGGGCUCUGUGCAGGCCAGUCAAGUUCUUCCACACCGACAAACCAUUUCUGUAUGGACCUCGCUUUGUGCACGAGGGUCAUUGUCAUGCUGAAACAGGAAAGGUCCUUCCCCAAACUGUUGUCACAAAUUUUUACACGCUAGGCGCUUUGUGGGUCCCGUUCUGUGAACUUGUGUGGCCUACCACUUCGCGGCUGAGCCGCUGUUGCUCUUAGACGUUUCCACUUCACAAUAACAGCUGACCGGGGAAGCAGACGUGUUGGAAAGGUGGUUCCUAUGACAGUACCAAGGUUGAAAGUCGCUAAGCUCUUUUUUAUUUAUUUUAUUUAACUCGGUAAGUCAGUUAAUAAGAACAAAUUCUUAUUUACAAUGGCGGCCUACCCUGCCAAACCCUAACCCAGACAACGCUGGGCAAAUUGUGCUCCACCCUAUGGGACUCUCAAUCACGGACGGUUAUGAUACAGCCUGGAAUCAAACCAGGGUCUGUAGUGACACCUCUAGCACUGAGAUGCAGUGCCUUAGACUACUGCAUCCGCUAGGGAGCCUCUUCAGUAAGACCAUUCUAUUGCCAAUGUUUGUCUAUGGAGAUUGCGUGGCUGUGUGCUUGAUUUUAUACACCUGUCAGCAACAUGUGGCUGAAAAAGCCGAAUCCACUAAUUUGAAGGGGUGCCAGUACCGCUAAGGGCUAGUUCUGGCUGGGAACCCAGUACCGCUAAGGGCUAGCUCUGGCUGGGAACCCAGCACCGCUAAGGGCUAGCUCUGGCUGGGAACCCAGCACCGCUAAGGGCUAGCUCUGGCUGGGAACCCAGCACCGCCAAGGGC
ensembl:lncRNA